UACGUAGGCAGCGAGCGUUGUUCGGAGUUACUGGGCGUAAAGGGCUCGUAGGCGGCCAACUAAGUCAGACGUGAAAUCCCUCGGCUUAACCGGGGAACUGCGUCUGAUACUGGAUGGCUAGAGGUUGGGAGAGGGAUGCGGAAUUCCAGGUGUAGCGGUGAAAUGCGUAGAUAUCUGGAGGAACACCGGUGGCGAAGGCGGCAUCCUGGACCAAUUCUGACGCUGAGGAGCGAAAGCCAGGGGAGCAAACGGG
rnacentral:rRNA from 1 species